rnacentral:rRNA from 1 species
UUAGAGUUUGAUCCUGGCUCAGGAUGAACGCUAGCUACAGGCUUAACACAUGCAAGUCGAGCGGUAUGUGCUUUAGUGCAUACAGCGGCAGACGGGUGAGUAACACGUAUCUAACCUUCCCCUUACUUGGGCAUAGCCUCUGGAAACGGAGAUUAAUUUCCGAUGUGGUGUACAUUUCGCAUGUUUUGCGCACCAAAGAUUUAUCGAUAAGGGAUGGGGAUGCGCUCCAUUAGGUUGUAGGUAGGGUAAUGGCCUACCUAGCCUAUGAUGGAUAGGGGUUCUGAGAGGAAGGUCCCCCACAUUGGAACUGCGACACGGUCCAAACUCCUACGGGAGGCAGCAGUGAGGAAUAUUGGUCAAUGGCCGGAAGGCUGAACCAGCCAAGUAGCGUGCAGGAUGACUGCCUUAUGGGUUGUAAACUGCUUUUUUACGGGAAUAAUUAUGAUCACGUGUGAUUAUUUGCAUGUACCGUAAGAAUAAGCAUCGGCUAACUCCGUGCCAGCAGCCGCGGUAAUACGGAGGAUGCGAGCGUUAUCCGGAUUUAUUGGGUUUAAAGGGUGCGUAGGCUGUUUUGUAAGUCAGCGGUGAAAGACCGGGGCCCAACUCCGGAAGUGCCGUUGAUACUGCAUUGCUAGAGUUCCCCUGCCGUGGGAGGAAUGAGUGGUGUAGCGGUGAAAUGCAUAGAUAUCACUCAGAACACCGAUUGCGAAGGCAUCUCACGAAGAGGCAACUGACGCUGAGGCACGAAAGCGUGGGGAUCAAACAGGAUUAGAUACCCUGGUAGUCCACGCUGUAAACGAUGAUGACUAGCUGCCGGCGAUACACUGUCGGUGGCCCAGCGAAAGCGAUAAGUCAUCCACCUGGGGAGUACGACCGCAAGGUUGAAACUCAAAGGAAUUGACGGGGGCCCGCACAAGCGGAGGAACAUGUGGUUUAAUUCGAUGAUACGCGAGGAACCUUACCCGGGCUCGAACGGCAGACGACAUAUACAGAGACGUAUAUUCCCUUCGGGGCGUCUGUCGAGGUGCUGCAUGGUUGUCGUCAGCUCGUGUCGUGAGAUGUUGGCUUAAGUGCCAUAACGAGCGCAACCCCUAUUCUUAGUUGCCAUCAGGUAAUGCUGGGGACUCUAAGAAAACUGCCUACGCAAGUAGUGAGGAAGGUGGGGAGGACGUCAAAUCAGCACGGCCCUUAUGUCCAGGGCUACACACGUGCUACAAUGGCCGGUACAGAGGGCAGCCACCUGGUGACAGGGAGCAAAUCUCCAAAGCCGGUCUCAGUUCGGAUCGAAGUCUGCAAUUCGACUCCAUGAAGGUGGAUUCGCUAGUAAUCGCGCAUCAGCCAUGGCGCGGUGAAUAAGGGGCCGGGCCUUGUACACACCGCCCGUCA